UGUUAUGGUCAUGGGAAUGUCAGAAUGCUGCAAGAAAAAUAAUAUAGAAAUCACAUAUACAUCUAUGAUAAUAUGGAUUUUAGAUGUGGUACCAGCAUAACCAUUUAAGUGUAAGGAAGACUAGUAAAAUUAUAGUGAAAUGCAUAGUAAAAUUCGUCAUUGGAGCAUUUGCAAGGCCGUACUGUUCAAAACAAAUUUCAUGUAAAAAAUAACAUAUAUAAAGAACCGCGAUUCUGAAUUUAUAAAACAGAUCUUAUGACGCAUCAGUUUAAAACAUCGACGCAAUAAUAUUAUUGCGAAAAGUUUAUGAUCGGUGUUUACGUGAGAAACGAAAGAAACUCAAUUGACCCUGGUGGUACAUCUUCGCCAUCUUAAGCCGGUCAGCUGUGUGAGUGAACAUUUCACGUCGAGGAAAUUAACGAUAUUCGGCCAAUAUGACUCUCUGGAGGGCAGCCGGUCUUAACUACAUUCAGUACUCUACAAUUGCGGCAAGAGCCCUUCGCCAAGCACUUAAAGAGCCUUUGAGGGCUGAGGCAGUAAAACGGGAUGGUGCACAGAUCAAAAUUACCAAAUGGCAAGAUGGAAAGCCAAUCA